GCUGGGCGUGGUGGUGCAUGCCUGUAGUCCCAGCUACUUGGGAGGCUGAGGCAGAAGAAUCACUUGAACCUGGGAGGUGGAGGUUGCAGUGAGCCAAGAUCGCGCCACUGCACUCCAGCCUGGGUGACAGAGUGAGACUCCGUCUCAA
rnacentral:SRP_RNA from 1 species